CCUCACUCCUUUGUUUGUUUGUUUCAAUUUCUAGAUACUUUACAGAGAUGUUGAUCUUCCUUUCUUGGACUCAGGCUUGCCCACCAUAAGCAGCAGCUGAAGCUGCUGAACUCUGCUGUGCAAACUGCAGUCUCCUGAUAAUGCAGGGCCAUAGGGGACAAGGAGGCUGGUCUCAGUGUCUGUCUGGGGCAGUGGUGCACGUGGCUCCCUUCAGCCUAAUGAUGAAAAGGGAAAUGGGAUGAGGUCUUCACUAUCGAGAAAGGAGAAUCAGAAGUCAAGUCCUAUGUGCCAGGACACGGUCAGGCUGGGAUGAGGAAGGUGAUUCUCUCCAAAGGGCAUGGAACUAUUGGCAGCCUGCCUCUUUCCCUCCUCUUCCUCUGAAGCACCCUGGAGUCAGGAUGCAGCCUUUAAUGACUCAGUAGUCUGCUUGGCUGUGGCAGAUCUUACAUUUCUGGAGAGAAUCAAUAUAAACACUUUCUUUUGUCUUUCCUUUAUUUUUUUUCCCCUUUACCCAUUGUACUGCCUCCUAUUUCACUGUCUGCUGUCUACCAGCGCCUAAGGAAACUGUGAUUGGUAAUUACUGGUGCCUGGUGCUGCCCAGCCUGCAACAAAAUUGCUCAGUGUGAAAGGCAGCAAUGAUCGAUGUCACGCUUGGAGAGCACUGGCUGCUGGGAGAGGAGCCAAGUGGCCAACUGGCCGAUACAACGGAACAGCAGUGAGCAAAAUAAUGCAGUUGGAUUCCCUUAGAUGUGAUAGACAUUCAUCCUGAUCCUUAAUUCAGUUUCCAUUGGGAGGACAGAUCUCAGGCCACGGAGUUAACACAAAUAAUGUAAAAAUGGUGAAGGUGACAGAAGAGUUAGGCUAAAAAUGAAGAAGCCUACUGCCUUCAACACAGAGAAUGUGGGCCGCAAAUUAUAUCUCAGCCUAUUUAAUCGCCAGGCAAAAUGUGGGACAAGAACUCUUGGGGGCUCCCAGUCAUCGGCGAUAUGAAGCAUUUGUUAUAAGUAGCCCAUAAUAGCUGCUCUGGCCAGCCUCCUUCUCAUGUUCAAGAAGUAAAAACAGCAGGAGGUUUUUGAAAGCGUGAAGAACUGCCUCUUCAUUUCCUGGUUUGGAGACUGACUCAGAAUUGAAGACAUUAAGCAUUAAAAUUAGCUGAAAAAUAAAGGGUGGAGAUGCGAAUAAUGUCAGGGACUUUGCAUUCUAUUUCUCACGAGCUUUCAAACUUGUUCAACUUUUAAGAAAAGUCUUGUUUAAUACUUGUUGUUCCAGCUACUUUUAGAAGACAUUUUGGAAGACAGGAAGGCCAGAUACUUCAGGCAAGAGGCAUAAUGACUUGGGGCACAGACCACUAAAAAAAAAAAAUCAAUCCUGAAUCCCUGAGGCUUCUGUACUCUUGUUGAGAAGGCAGAACCUAGUGUUUCAUCAAAUUUUUUGUGAUAACCAUUGAUGACGUUGCAGAAACCAUGAUAAUGUAAAAUAAUGGAUUAAAUUUGUAUGAGCAUAACUGUAGUGAUGAAACAAUUUAAACUCAUUUCUGAAGGCAUUCAUGCACUGGUGCUUGCUCAGGGUGUGAGCUAGAAGGCCACUAUCCCUUCAAAAUUAGACAGAGAUGUUGAUGACCAUUCUCAGUUAUUAUACUUCUAAAUUACAGCCUGUCCUCAUCCUUGAAGAUCAAAAAGGGAGUAAUUUCUGUUUUACAGGAGAUUACUCGCACUACAAGUCUAACUCUUGUUCACUUUGAGGUACUUAAAUAAAUCUGGAGCCCUGGCUGUAGGACAGACAGACAGUUCCAGUGGGAAAAUCAGCUCUGAAUUUCAUAAUGGGAAUUUCAUUCAUUUUCUGAAUGUGUUCAUCCUUAUCCAUUAGCCCAGAGGACCCAGGACUAGCAGACGCCUUUGAAAUUCAGCCCACUGCCUCAGGUUAGAUUAAAUGAAUCCAUACUUCUGAUCAGCAGAGUUAAAAAAAAAAAUACAAAACCCAAACCAACCAAAAAGCACCAACAACCACAUAACCAUAUAAUAAUAUGGAAGGAAAUAAAGGACAAGGGAUAUUUUUAUUUGUGCAGCUGACCAGAUAUUUCCAUCUUUGGAUUGCUCCCUCUGCUGCCUGCAAGGUAGCUGGAGGGGAGCUAGCAAAGCUACCCAGGUGGACUCUGCAUCCCUCUUCCUCGCCCAACUCCCAGCAUUAGAGAUGCCGACAGUUACUAGAUAAAGUUAAAGACUCAUGUAGUGAUCUUCACACUAAUUGGACUGUAAUGUAUAGCCUCGGUCAAGCAAAUCUCUCCCAGCACUCCUCUCCACAGACGGCAAUCAAGCCAUUUACAGAAGAUGCAUCGGCUGCUGGGACCCUGGAGUAACCUUAAACUACGCUGGCCUUUUAGCAGAAAACACAAUUAAUUUUGAUACUGAAGGGCAAUUAGGACUGGGGUUAAAAUAAAAAAUCUUCUGAACAGAGAAUGUCAAAGACUGGUAAGGAAACUAUUUCCCUUGUACACAGCUUGUUGAAGGUCUGUAAGCACGGCGACUGUCAGCUCACGUUAAUUCAUAUCACUUUGAAAACCUCUCAUUUCAAUGUAGGAAAUAUAAAUUCAGAUUAAUAAGCACUGUGCUCAAACCUCACUAAGACUGAUGGCUGUUUUCUUUAAGUCUUUUGCUGCUGAAAUGAGCACAGCUUCUCCCUCUUGCUGGGGAAACCUGUUUUACAUCCCAGAAUGUAGUGAAAUGACCAAAUGCAUUUAUUUUGUUCUGUUUCAUUUCUAAAAGAAGAUAGUCUCCCAGAUGACGCUCUGCAGAUCACGGCUGAGAGCAAAUCUUGUCAGCAACUCUGUAAACUACUCUUUAGAAAUACAGAAGAUGUUCACAGUAAUACAUAUCUACAAUGCACCCACAUGCCCUGAUGCAUGUGCAAGGCAGCCAAAAUUUUGACCUCGCCUGCACGAACUGCAUAGGUCGAUGCCACUCUCAAUAAGUCAAGCAAAUGCACCAG
rnacentral:lncRNA from 1 species